AUGGUCAGUCUCCAUUUGGCCCCCUCAAGUAACCAUGGAGCUUAUUACAGAUAACAAAGAUUUCACUGGUAUCAAUACUAAGUUAAGUGGCAACACCCAUUAUACCCCACUUUGUGCUCCUACAAGUCCAAAUAAGGCACUACCAGAACUUAACCAAGAUAUGACCUGUACCAAAAAUCCACAAAACUUAAACCAAAUUCAUGAGGAAACUGCAAAGAAAGCACAGAACUUGGUGCUCCCCA
rnacentral:lncRNA from 1 species